AUUGAACGCUGGCGGCAGGCCUAACACAUGCAAGUCGAGCGAGCGGCGGACGGGUGAGUAAUGUCUGGGAAACUGCCUGAUGGGGGGGGGUAACUACUGGAAACGGUAGCUAAUACCGCAUACCAUCAGAUGUGCCCACAUGGGGUUGGCUAGUAGGUGGGGUAACGGCUCACCUAGGCGACGAUCCCUAGCUGGUCUGAGAGGAUGACCAGCCACACUGGAACUGAGACACGGUCCAAACUCCUACGGGAGGCAGCAGUGGGGAAUAUUGCACAAUGGGCGCAAGCCUGAUGCAGCCAUGCCGCGUGUGUGAAGAAGGCCUUCGGGUUGUAAAGCACUUUCAGCGAGGAGGCGUUACUCGCAGAAGAAGCACCGGCUAACUCCGUGCCAGCAGCCGCGGUAAUUC
rnacentral:rRNA from 1 species